rnacentral:rRNA from 1 species
UGAGACACGGCCCAGACUCCUACGGGAGGCAGCAGUAGGGAAUCUUCCACAAUGGACGAAAGUCUGAUGGAGCAACGCCGCGUGAGUGAUGAAGGUUUUCGGAUCGUAAAACUCUGUUGUAAGGGAAGAACACGUACGAGAGGGAAUGCUCGUACCUUGACGGUACCUUACGAGAAAGCCACGGCUAACUACGUGCCAGCAGCCGCGGUAAUACGUAGGUGGCAAGCGUUGUCCGGAAUUAUUGGGCGUAAAGCGCGCGCAGGCGGCCUUUUAAGUCUGAUGUGAAAGCCCCCGGCUCAACCGGGGAGGGCCAUUGGAAACUGGAAGGCUUGAGUACAGAAGAGAAGAGUGGAAUUCCACGUGUAGCGGUGAAAUGCGUAGAGAUGUGGAGGAACACCAGUGGCGAAGGCGACUCUUUGGUCUGUAACUGACGCUGAGGCGCGAAAGCGUGGGGAGCAA